rnacentral:rRNA from 1 species
GACGAACGCUGGCGGCGUGCUUAACACAUGCAAGUCGAACGAUGAUGCCCAGCCUGCUGGGUUGAUUAGUGGCGAACGGGUGAGUAACACGUGAGUAACCUGCCCUUGACUUCGGGAUAACUCCGGGAAACCGGGGCUAAUACCGGAUAUGAGCCGUCCUCGCAUGGGGGUGGUUGGAAAGUUUUUCGGUCAGGGAUGGGCUCGCGGCCUAUCAGCUUGUUGGUGGGGUGAUGGCCUACCAAGGCGACGACGGGUAGCCGGCCUGAGAGGGCGACCGGCCACACUGGGACUGAGACACGGCCCAGACUCCUACGGGAGGCAGCAGUGGGGAAUAUUGCACAAUGGGCGAAAGCCUGAUGCAGCGACGCCGCGUGAGGGAUGACGGCCUUCGGGUUGUAAACCUCUUUCAGCAGGGAAGAAGCGCAAGUGACGGUACCUGCAGAAGAAGCGCCGGCUAACUACGUGCCAGCAGCCGCCGUAAUAC